rnacentral:rRNA from 1 species
AGAGCGAACGCUGGCGGCAGGCUUAACACAUGCAAGUCGAGCGGAAAGGCCCUUCGGGGUACUCGAGCGGCGAACGGGUGAGUAACACGUGAGCAACCUGCCCCUGGCUCUGGGAUAGCCUCCGGAAACGGGGAUUAAUACCGGACAUGACCCUUGACCGCAUGGUUGGGGGUGGAAAGUUUUUCGGCCAGGGUGGGGCUCGCGGCCUAUCAGCUUGUUGGGGGGGUGACGGCCCACCAAGGCGACGACGGGUAG